rnacentral:misc_RNA from 1 species
AUACAGUCUCAAGGCUUUAACAAAAGCCAGUAUCUGAGACGGCUCCACAGAGGCCAGCUCUCCAUCCUCGACAUCAGCCGUACCCUUUGUGUGGCUUUGCUGAAAAUGUUCUUAUAUAAGCCCAUUCCACAGGAGUUUACUGUUUAAGAUUAUUCCCAGAUGUCAAAUAUCUUCCUAUGAUCGCAGUAUUUCUUUUUCAUCUAGUUGGAUUCUUUCAGGAUCAGGUUUUUCAGAAAAUUGGAGUUGCAAUUUAUAAAAACUUAUAACUUCAUCAUUGCUUGUUUAGGACACCCUGUAUACAACAAAAUAUUUUUAGGAUAUUCAACUUUAUAAACCAUGCAACAUUUAUAUUAAACUUUUUUUUCAUAUCUUUCUCAACAACGACGAUGUAUGUUCGCACCCUGUAUGUUUUCCCAAUAAUAAUAUUUCAGAUAUAAGUAGAUAAAGAAAAACGCGGAAGUUUCCAAUUUCAAAUAAAAGGUGUGUACGUUUGGUUGUUAUGGUGAUAAGGGCGGUCUUGAAAAUCGACCCUUAUUUCCAAACGACGUGCGCCCUUCUAGGACGCAUGCGCCAUUCAGAUUUUUAAAACAAAACUCGAAAUAGGUGAAAUGUUAAUAGCGGCUUUUGCGGAUAGUUUUAAAUUAUAUUUGAAACCCAUGUCCUAACAAAACAGUAUGAAUGAGGACUAAUUGCCUUAAUUUUCCGAUAGUCAUCACUUUGUUGAUGCUAUCGUUGAUUCCAUGGCCGGGUCCAACAAUUUUCAAAAUAUCUUGUCCAAGAGAUAACGCAAGGAUAGUAAGAAAAAUAGUCCAGAGCAAAUGGAUUCCAGUUUUAGAUAAAUACAAGGUUAAGUUACCACUAGAAUGCCCCUUUCAUCCUCAACGGGACAUAUUUGGUCCACAACAAGCUGCCAAAAAACAACACAGACCUUCACAAUGGACCUGCGGCAUAUGCGGAAAAUCAUUUUUCGAAGAGAAAUAUUUAGAUAUGCACUUUGACAAUCGACACAAAGGAUAUAUAAACAUGGCUGAAGACGCCGUGUGUCUAGCAGACUAUUGCGAUAUAAUGAGAUGCGACGUGAUCAACAGUUUAGAACUUAAAACUACUUCUUCGGACCACGAUAAUACGGAUAUCGAAAUAUGGCGAGAGGGAUCUUCAUAUACUAAAGCACUAACAACUUCUGGACCACGGGAUGUAGCUAAAUACACUGUCAAGACAGAUAAUUUCGUAUUUUUGCAAAAAAAUGGGAAAGCUGAUCAGGAAGAACUGAGGAAACGGUGCCAAAAAACAGACGCUCCUGAGGCUGCAAACAUGAAAGAAAGCAGCUCAUCGAACCAAGUAGACAAAACUCUACAAAAUACCAGUUCUGACGUUUGCCAGAGCGAUUUGGUAGAUUCGGCUCUACCGGCACCUGACAAUCGACAGCAACGCAUCAACGAAAUUCAAAAGUUAAAAGCCAACUGCAAACCGGAAGAGUUGCAGAAAAUUAAGACGAAAUGUGAGAUUUUGGUUAGAGAUUGUAUAGCUAGUUUGCUAAUUGAACUAAGUAUUAAGGAUUUUAAAGAAGUGGAAGAUGAAUUCAACAGAGCAGUGUGUUGGUAUCUAACAUGUGACAGAUAUUGGGAAGAUUCACAAUCAGACAUAAAAUCGUUUCCAUGGGGAUUGCUUUGUAUGGUUAUGAUGGUACUAUCUCUAGGGGUGUGUCUCUGUUACUACGUUGUAUGGGUGUUAUUUGAAAUCUGUUAUGAUUCACAAAAACCGAUAUCAGUAUUUUUAGUACAGACGAUGUCAGCGUUACUAGUGCUAGUAUUACUGACAGAUCGACACCGUCACCCGCGCAUUUACUGAGGGGUGAUAUAGUGUCUACUAGUGAUGGCCACCACGUUUAUUCAGAGGAUUACAUAGGCGGCGAUAAGGACAAUGAGUACAUCUAUGUCACUUAUCCCCCAGAUUUAAAAAGAAGACUGUUAGAAAGCUGCUACAAUCGAACUACACGCUUGUGAGGUACUAGAAAGUUUAGGAAGAGCUACUUUUUCAUAAAACAAUAGAAAAUAUUAGUUAUAAUUAGAUAGACCAAACUUGUACACAGAAUUUUACUCAGAAAUGUUUAGAUUCGCUUAAUAAAAUGCUAAACCAAUAAAUAUCCUAUAUUCUUAAUUUAACGUAGACGUUUAUUUACACUAAAGGAUUUUAAAUCUAAAUUUAACAAAAAAAUCUUCAAGCUAGAAAACUUAUAUACUCCUAUUUCAGUAAUACUCAUAGACCCUUUUUUGGGUCUCUCAACUGAUUAAAAUGUAGACAUAGUUUUUACCUCCCUUUUGUUACGCAUUAGAAAUACAGAAAGCUGACUUAGGAUGGCGUUGAUAUAUCUAUAUACCUUUUAUCUACGAUUGAAAAAAAAACAGCGUCAGGUUGACUUGGAAAUAACGAUCUACGACAUUCCCCCUAUAAAAUGGCAGCGAUCUUCAUUUCCAAGCCAACACUGACACGUUUUUUCCAUUCUUAUGGUAUAUGCACUAAUACUAGAGAAAAGACAUCCAAAAAUUAACAGAAAGAAUACUCUUCAACCUCUGCUUCAACUAAAAUGACAGACAUAAUUGUCACUGUUAUAUAUUCUCUCAUAUAUUUGGAUACACUAUACAUUUAUACAUCAAUAAAAUAAGCAUUACAUGAGUAAAAUUCUGAUGAAAGUGUUCAUUUGUAGAUUUCUAGUCAAAUACUUGUCUUUAUAGUGCCUAACUCCUUAUUAUAGUCUAUAGAUGUUUUAGGUAGGUUUACUUUAAACAUAUUAACGACUCUAUAAUUCUUAUUUAGAUAUAAUUUUAUUUAUUUCUUGUAUUAUAGAUAGAGUUAUAAUAUAGUUCUUUAUAUAAUUAAUCGAAUUAUUUUACCUACUUUCUCAUUAAUAAACUCUUUUGUAAUACUUAUUGUACCUGCAUUU